AUACGGAGGGUGCAAGCGUUACUCGGAAUCACUGGGCGUAAAGCGCGCGCAGGCGGGCUGAUAAGUUGGAUGUGAAAGCCCACGGCUCAACCGUAGAACUGCAUCCAAAACUGUCAGUCUAGAGUCUGGGAGGGGAAGAUGGAAUUAGUUGUGUAGGGGUAAAAUCCGUAGAGAUAACUAGGAAUACCAAAAGCGAAGGCGAUCUUCUGGAACAGUACUGACGCUGAGGCGCGAAAGCGUGGGGAGCAAACAGGAUUAGAAACCCUUGUAGUCC
rnacentral:rRNA from 1 species